rnacentral:tRNA from 1 species
AUGACUAUGGCGAAAUAGGUAUACGCGAUGAAUUUAGGUUUCAUUACUUAAUGUAUUAAGGGUUCAAGUCCCUUUAGUCAUA